GUAUGGAAGGCACCUGUGGGGAAAAGGAGAAAUUGCUUCUUUGGAGACAGCAGCUACGAAGGACACUGGCUGAGGCAACAGCAGAUGAGAAUAUGCUGUGAAGUGUUACAUUGCGACCAUAUCAGAACAGAGACUGUUAACCAAACGAGACUGUUAGAAACUGUUAAUGCAUGCACUGAAUUUAUUGUACCCCUGGUUUUACCGAGUUUUACAGCAUUUUUCUCCUCACGUUUAUCCCCUAUUUUCUCAUUGGUCAAGAUUUGCUGCAAUUCAGGUGUUUCCCUUUUUGGUCCCUGUUUAGUGCCAUGUUCCCUCCUUCCUGCCCUAAUUGGUUAUGACCUCUGUCAGUCCCGUGCUCCUCCCUCUUUCUAGAUCCUUCCCUACCUAACGUAUAAAUAGAGUGAACCACCCUUAAUAAAUGGUGCUAGUUGUUUGAAGCUAUCACUGUCCUUGAACCCCCUCAGUGGUCCUGUGGUCUUUUCCUGAUUGAUUAUGACACCCCAGUUCCUCAAACAUCCCUGUGCCCGGCAUGUACCUCGCUGGGCAGCCCCUGCCCAAAGCAGCCGGGAAGCAGGAACAGCAGCUUUCUUGAAGGAGGCCAUUAGAUUUUAUUUCUGACCUCAUUUUAUAUCCUAUGCAGGAUGGGUCUUCAUCAAUCAGAAUAGCAGCUUAGCCUUCCCUGGAUCUUGCUACUGUGACAGGGCUGCUGAAAGGUCAACAUGAGAGAUCGUGGUGAAAGGAAAGCAUGUGAAGUAGCUUUUCCCUUCUCCAGGCUACUUCAUAUAAAGACACAGACUUCUGGUUGCAGCUUCACAUAUGGAGUGGAUUAGAAGUACUGGUAAACUACAACAUCAGCAUGGGGGUUGUGUUUUAGAUACCCAAGAAAGCAAAAGGAAACACCAAAG